ensembl:lncRNA
CUACCACCAUAAGCUUUGCGAUCGACUGGUCGAUCGCGAUCGACGCAUUGGGCACCCUUGCACUAACCUGAUAAUAGAUAUUAUAUUAUAUUACACAACUACAAAAACACACAAAUAAGCUGCAGCACCACAUUUGUAAAACAUCCCAUUCAAAGCCAACAUAGUCUAACAUAAGGUUAUAGCUCUUUAUGCUAACUACCACACCACUAACUACAAACCAUACCUCACCACUAACUACAAACCAUAAGGUUAUAGCUCUUUAUGCUAACUACCACACCACUAACUACAAACCAUAAGGUUAUAGCUCUUUAUGCUAACUACCACACCACUAACUACAAACCAUAAGGUUAUAGCUCUUUAUGCUAACUACCUCACCACUAACUACAAACCAUAAGGUUAUAGCUCUUUAUGCUAAUUACAAACCAACAGCUGCCUAGAUUCCUGUCCCUGUGGCGGGUGCUUUUACUGAACAGAGUUGGCAUCUGAACCCUUUCUUUCUUAUGUCCUAUGCUGCCCACGAACCUCUGAGACUGAGUGGUCGGUGGACUGUCAGCCAGGCUGAGAGGAGGCAUGUUAGGAGGCUUUGCCCACACAACUCCCAUAACCCACGUAUCGGACUGUGCUUCUAAGCUUGUGUCACAAAGUUUGUGUUUGUUAACUAUGGAGGACUCUCAGAACACAGCCCUUGUACUUCUGUCUUUCUUUUCUUGCUUUGCUUAGCAGUACAGAAGGCAGAAGUGGAACUGUAUUUUUCUCGGCUUCACUUGUUUCACUUCUUGUUUUAGUAUUAUGCCUUAUGGAAGACUUCGGUCACAUGCAAUGAGUGCACGGCAGAGUGCACGCAGGUAGGUAGGUAGACAGGUAGGUAGGCCAUCCAGUCGUUUCAUUCGACAUGAAUGAAAUGAUUGGACAGGCUUUUUACAGCCCUGCAACUGCCACAUAUGACGUUUUUUUCUUCUUUUUAUUGCCAGAGCAUUUGAUUUAUUCAUUUCUGUUAGGAUGUCAAGAGAAUUUCAAGAAAUAUAACAAAACAAACAAACAAGGCUGACUUCAGUCAGUCUACAAGCGGCACACUGCAACACACACAGGGGCGUAACUAUAGGGGGUGCAGAAGGUGCGGAUGCACCUGGGCCUGUGAGGUGUCGGGGCCCGUAGCCGGGCCCAAGGAUAUACACGCGUCACUCAACGGGCCCCCUCUCUCCAAGUAGAAUCGCUCAGCGGGCCCACCCUCAGUCUCGGAUUUUCUCGGAUAUGCUUAUAUUCCAAUACGCGCUAUUUACUAACUGAAGGCUGUGUCAAAUGCUAUAUAUACACUUGAAAGGGCAAACUUAUCUCAGUCAUGGUUGUUAUUAUUUUUGGGGGAAAAGUA